AGUGAACGCUGGCGGUAGGCCUAACACAUGCAAGUCGAACGGCAGCACGGUAAGAGCUUGCUCUUACGGGUGGCGAGUGGCGGACGGGUGAGGAAUACAUCGGAAUCUACUUUUUCGUGGGGGAUAACGUAGGGAAACUUACGCUAAUACCGCAUACGACCUACGGGUGAAAGCAGGGGAUCUUCGGACCUUGCGCGAUUGAAUGAGCCGAUGUCGGAUUAGCUAGUUGGCGGGGUAAAGGCCCACCAAGGCGACGAUCCGUAGCUGGUCUGAGAGGAUGAUCAGCCACACUGGAACUGAGACACGGUCCAGACUCCUACGGGAGGCAGCAGUGGUGAAUAUUGGACAAUGGGCGCAAGCCUGAUCCAGCCAUGCCGCGUGGGUGAAGAAGGCCUUCGGGUUGUAAAGCCCUUUUGUUGGGAAAGAAAAGCAGCAGGUUAAUACCCCGCUGUUCUGACGGUACCCAAAGAAUAAGCACCGGCUAACUUCGUG
rnacentral:rRNA from 1 species